CCUACGGGUGACAGCAGUGGGGAAUAUUGCACAAUGGGCGAAAGCCUGAUGCAGCAACGCCGCGUGAGCGAAGAAGGCCUUCGGGUCGUAAAGCUCUAUCCUCAGGGAAGAUAAUGACGGUACUUGACUAGGAAGCCCCGGCUAACUACGUGCCAGCAGCCGCGGUAAUACGUAGGGGGCUAGCGUUAUCCGGAAUUACUGGGCGUAAAGGGUGCGUAGGUGGGUACUCAAGUCUGAAGUGAAAUGCCAACGCUCAAAACUGGUAAGGCUUUGGAAACUGUGUAGCUAGAGUGCAGGAGAGGUAAGUGGAAUUCCUAGUGUAGCGGUGAAAUGCGUAGAUAUUAGGAGGAACACCAGUGGCGAAGGCGGCUCACUGGACUGUAACUGACGUUGAGGCACGAAAGCGUGGGGAGCAAACAGGAUUAGAUACCCUAGUAGUC
rnacentral:rRNA from 1 species